ensembl:lncRNA
GCUCCUCUGUCCCUGGAAUUUUCCAGGCAAGAAUACUGGAGUGGGUUGGCAUUUUCUUCCUGACCCAGGCGUUGAAGCCGCAUCUCUUGCAUGCCCUGCAUUGGGAGGCAGAUUCUUUACCACUGUGCCACCUGGGAAGCUGUCUUCCAACUGUAAGUGACUCUCUGAGGACAUGAUCGGCUGAAGGAACUUCUUGGUGCACGGGGAUGAACUGGAAGAAGAAGUCAGGGGAGGGACCAACUGAACGAGGCUGGACAGUAUGGGAGCUGUUAAUGAUGUCUGUGCUUAAAAAUAAUGAUUAUUCCAUAAAGUCAAAAAAACUAAAGUUGAAAAACUUUCUUUGCCCUCUACCUUAAAAUGAAGAAACAGAUGGCCAGCUGUAGCUGUAUAUUUCUUGUUGUUGCAAGUAAAUGCAGCCACAGGAGCUUAUUUUAUGCUAAAAGCCUCCAUCUGCUAGAUGUAAUCUUUUCGUACCUGUGGAAAAAAUGAAUAAAAUAAGAAGGACCCACUCGCUUCUGACCUUGACUCUCUGCAGAUUAUGCACCUAAGAUAGUUUCUUUUGUUCCUUGACAGGUCUUAAUUCCAAAAUGAUAGUGCUGUAGUAUUUUGACAGUUUCAUCCUUUUACCUAAAUGGGGAUGAAUUUGGCUUCCUAAUAUUCCUGGUUGGCAUAUGUUUUGCUGCAACAGAGGGAGAGGAUUUUCCUUUAAUGAGCAAUACCCUGUGUCCCUUCACAGCGUCUUUUCUUGUUGUAAAAAUGCUCAAGCAUCCUUUGCCUCUCUAGUCUAUUUGCUACACGGAAUUGAGAAAUCAUUAUAAAUAAAAGAGGUAUUAAAACAUC